GCGGGAGUAGCUCAGUGGUAGAGCGUCAGCCUUCCAAGCUGAGGGUCGCGGGUUCGAGUCCCGUUUCCCGCUCCA
rnacentral:tRNA from 1 species